rnacentral:rRNA from 1 species
AUUGAACGCUGGCGGCAUGCCUUACACAUGCAAGUCGAACGGUAACGCGGGGCAACCUGGCGACGAGUGGCGAACGGGUGAGUAAUGUAUCGGAACGUGCCCAGUUGUGGGGGAUAACUGCUCGAAAGAGCAGCUAAUACCGCAUACGACCUGAGGGUGAAAGCGGGGGAUCGCAAGACCUCGCGCAAUUGGAGCGGCCGAUAUCAGAUUAGGUAGUUGGUGGGGUAAAGGCUCACCAAGCCAACGAUCUGUAGCUGGUCUGAGAGGACGACCAGCCACACUGGGACUGAGACACGGCCCAGACUCCUACGGGAGGCAGCAGUGGGGAAUUUUGGACAAUGGACGCAAGUCUGAUCCAGCCAUGCCGCGUGCGGGAAGAAGGCCUUCGGGUUGUAAACCGCUUUUGUCAGGGAAGAAACGCUCUGGGUUAAUACCUCGGGGUAAUGACGGUACCUGAAGAAUAAGCACCGGCUAACUACGUGCCAGCAGCCGCAGUAAUAC